rnacentral:rRNA from 1 species
CCUACGGGUGGCAGCAGUGAGGAAUAUUGGUCAAUGGACGAGAGUCUGAACCAGCCAAGUAGCGUGAAGGAUGAAUGCCCUAUGGGUUGUAAACUUCUUCUAUAUGGGAAUAAAAUUUUCUACGUGUGGGAUUUUGUAUUUACCAUAUGAAUAAGGAUCGGCUAACUUCGUGCCAGCAGCCCAGGUACUACGGAGGGUCCGAGCGUUAUCUGGAUUUAUUUGGUUUAAAGGGAGCGUAGGUGGAUGGUUAAGUCAGUUGUGAAAGUUUGCGGCUCAACCGUAAAAUUGCAGUUGAUACUGGCAGUCUAGAGUACAGUAGAGGUGGGCAGAAUUCGAGGUGUAGCGGUGAAAUGCUUAGA